rnacentral:rRNA from 1 species
UGCUUAACACAUGCAAGUCGAGCGAGAACGGUUCCUUCGGGAACUUAGUAGAGCGGCGCACGGGUGAGUAACGCGUGGGUAACGUACCUUGGAGACUGGGAUAACAGUUGGAAACGGCUGCUAAUACCGGAUGGUCUUUACAUUUAACUUUGUAAGGUAAAGAGGGCCUCUGAUUUAAGCUCUUGCUCCGAGAUCGGCCCGCGUCUCAUUAGCUAGUUGGUGGGGUAACGGCCUACCAAGGCAACGAUGAGUAGCUGGUCUGAGAGGAUGAUCAGCCACACUGGGACUGGAACACG